AACUUCUCAACCACACUGAUUUGUUUCUGAUGUGGCUUGGAUUGUGGGGGACCAUUUUUGCAGGCUUCCAGGAAUGAAGUCUGCUCCCCUGAAAUACAUUAGUAGUAUCUGAGCAGAAAAACUACUACAGGUGUGAUAAUUUAUCUAUGCCUUUAGUAUGCUGCAAUACAAACAGAUUACACUGCUUCUGAACGAGUGGAUAACAACCACGUUUGAUAA
rnacentral:misc_RNA from 1 species